rnacentral:rRNA from 1 species
UAGUGACUACGAAGGGGGCGCUACCACGGUGUGGUCAAUGACUGGGGGUG